CCUACGGGAGGCAGCAGUGAGGAAUAUUGGUCAAUGGACGGAAGUCUGAACCAGCCAUGCCGCGUGCAGGAAGACGGCUCUAUGAGUUGUAAACUUCUUUUAUACAGGGGUAAACCUUAAUACGUGUAUUCAUCUGAAUGUACUUUAUGAAUAAGGAUCGGCUAACUCCGUGCCAGCAGCCGCGGUAAUACGGAGGAUCCCAGCGUUAUCCGGUUUUAUUGGGUUUAACGGGUGCGUAGGUGGAUUGAUAAGUCAGAUGUGAAAUGUCCGAGCUUAACACGGGAACUGCCUUUAAUACUGGUGAUCUAGAGAAUAGAUGCGGUAGGCGGAAUGUGUGGUGUAGCGGUGAAAUGCUUAGAGAUCAUACAGAACACCGAUUGCGAAGGCAGCUUACCAAUCUAUAACUGACGUUGAGGCACGAAAGCGUGGGUAGCAAACAGGAUUAGAUACCCCUGUAGUC
rnacentral:rRNA from 1 species